rnacentral:rRNA from 1 species
AAUGCGUAGAUAUCUGGAAGUACACCAGUACCGAAGCCGGUCUCCUGGCCCAAUACUGACGCUGAGGCUCGAAAGCAUGGGGAGCGAACAGGAUUAGAUACCCUGAUAGUCCACGCCGUAAACGAUGGACACUAGAUGUUGGCCUCUUCGGGGUUCGGUGUCGUAGCUAACGCGUUAAGUGUCCCGCCUGGGAAGUACGCUCGCAAGUGUGAAACUCAAAGGAAUUGACGGGGGCCCGCACAAGCGCUGGAGCAUGUGCUUUAAUUCGAUGCAACGCGAAGAACCUUACCUGGACUUGACAUGGGGCUGAAAGUUUUCAGAGAUGAAAACCCUUCCUUCGGGAACGCCCUACACAGGUGCUGCAUGGUCGUCGUCAGCUCGUGUCGUGAGAUGUUGGGUUAAGUCCCGCAACGAGCGCAACCCUUGUCCAUAGUUGCCAACGGGUCAUGCCGGGAACUCUAGGGAGACUGCCUGGUACAACCAGGAGGAAGAUGGGGAUGACGUCAAAUCAUCAUGGCCCUUACGUCCAGGGCUAGACACGUGCUACAAUGGCCAGUACAGAGGGCUGCAAGACUGCGAAGUCAUAGCCAAUCCCUGUAACCGGUCUCAGUUCGGAUUGGAGUCUGCAAUUCGACUCCAUGAAGGUGGAUCGCUAGUAAUCGCGGAUCAGCAUGCCACGUGUAUACGUUCCCGGGCAUUGUACACACCGCCCGUCAAGCCACGAAAGAUGCCAGUGCCCGAAGUCGCUACUCUAACCCUCACGGGAGGA